rnacentral:tRNA from 3 species
GGCGGACGUAGCCCAAG